GCAGCACUUCCAACAAGAAGAAGAAGAUGAGGACAUGUUUGAGGCAGCACUUCCAACAAGAAGAAGAUGAGGACAUGUUUGAGGCAGCACUUCCAACAAGAAGAAGAUGAGGACAUGUUUGAGGCAGCACUUCCAACAAGAAGAAGAUGAGGACAUGUUUGAGGCAGCACUUCCAACAAGAAGAAGAAGAUGAGGACAUGUUUGAGGCAGCACUUCCAACAAGAAGAAGAUGAGGACAUGUUUGAGGCAGCACUUCCAACAAGAAGAAGAUGAGGACAUGUUUGAGGCAGCACUUCCAACAAGAAGAAGGACUAGAAGUGACGUCAUACCUGAGUGGAAAAAGUUUGGACACCCCUGCCAUAUGGUCUCCACAUCAAAGGUCCAUUUCCCUACGAAGACCAUGCAUCCUGCCCAUCAACCAAUGGCCUCAGCAGCCAAGUUUGAUCACUCUAUGGAGGCUGUACACCCCUCCCAUCCCCACACCGCUGGCCCAUCACCAAAUGUCCACACCUAUGGUCCUUCACCCGGCGUACACAAUAGCUUGCUACCUGAAUCCACCUGAGAAUAAAAAGGCAGCUUUCCUGGCACCAGACAGGAGAGAUGCAGGCAACCCAUCUAUUGAGGACACUAUCUGUUAUCAACCACAGGCAGAAAAAUCAUGGACGCCAUGUGAUGGAAAAAAUGUGGGCAGAAAAAGAAGGAAUUGAAGAAGUCCUCUUGAAAAUAGAUCCGGUCCAAGUCAGAGUACUUCAAACUCUCUGCGACUUGGUUGGAGACAAAUACAGCGACGGCCCUCCUCAACAAUCGGGCCAGCAAGAGCUCUUUCCUGAGAGCGGCGUAUUCAUAUCAUUGUUCCGCCUUGCUGCCAUGAGACAUGCUGCAGAGCCCAAAUGUAGGCCUUUAUUUGGACCUCUUUUUUCUACGUGUCAAAAUGCUGUCCCUUUUUGACGCCCUGGAAACAAACCUGCAGGAACACCAAAGCGCAUCCUUAAGCGGAAAAAAGUGGAAGGAAUCCUUAGUAAGUUUUCCCAAACAGAGGGUGUUUUCAGGCCAAAAUUGGGUCACAAUAAUGAAAUAGAAGUUCAAUAUGAGAAAUGUUGAUCCCUUUUCGAUUACAGCAGACUGGAAGCAUAACUGAAUGUUACAUCAUUACAAUUUGUUAUCCACUCCAAACUAGCGUUAUGAUGAGCAAUAUAGUCUGAUGUCCAUCAACUUGAAGUGUGGUUGUGUGUAUUAAUGGUUUUGCGUAAAUGAAGGCAAUAAAAAAGCAUUAAAUGAGGCAUUUAAAAAAGGGAAUAUGAUUGUAGGACAUGGCGGACAGUCAAUAUGUCAAACGGUAAAGGAAAAUGAACUUAAGAAGGUUACAGUCGUUUCUUUUUUGAACUGCAUACAAGAGGUAUUGUAAGGUGGGAACACGACAAAAGCACUGCUUCAAUCAAGCAAAAUGAAACAUCAACUUUUCCAUUCUUUGGUCACUGUAGGCGUGUAGUCCUUAACUGUGACUCCAUGUCAGGAUAAUGGAGAAGCUGAGCCGACACGGAGUCGUUUAUUUCAAU